AUUGAACGCUGGCGGCAGGCCUAACACAUGCAAGUCGAGCGGAUGCAGGGAGCUUGCUCCUGGAUUCAGCGGCGGACGGGUGAGUAAUGCCUAGGAAUCUGCCUGGUAGCGGGGGAUAACGUCCGGAAACGGGCGCUAAUACCGCAUACGUCCUGAGGGCGCAAUUGGGGGAUCUUCGGACCUCACGCUAUCAGGUUAGGCUAGGUCGGAAUAGCUAGUUGGUGGGGUAAAUGCUUAACAAGGCGACGCUCCGUAACUGGUCUUAGAGGAUGGCCAGUCACACUGGAACUGAGACACGGUCCAGACUCCGACGGGAGGCAGCAGUGGGGAAUAUUGGAGGAAGGGCGAAAGCGUAAUCCAGCCAAGCCGCGUGAGUGAAGAAGGUCUUCGGAUUGUAAAACGAUUUAAGUUGGGAGGAAGGAAAGUAAGUUAAGACCUUGCUGUUUUGACGUUACCAGCAGAAUAAGCACCGGCUAACUUCGUG
rnacentral:rRNA from 1 species